rnacentral:rRNA from 1 species
UACAGAGGUCUCAAGCGUUGUUCGGAUUCAUUGGGCGUAAAGGGUGCGUAGGCGGCGCGGUAAGUCGGGUGUGAAAUCUCGGAGCUUAACUCCGAAACUGCAUUCGAUACUGCGGUGCUUGAGGACUGGAGAGGAGACUGGAAUUCAUGGUGUAGCAGUGAAAUGCGUAGAGAUCAUGAGGAAGACCAGUGGCGAAGGCGGGUCUCUGGACAGUUCCUGACACUGAGACACGGAAGGCCCAGGGGAGCAAACGGG